rnacentral:tRNA from 1 species
UCCCGUGUGGCUCAGUUGGUAGAGCAUGGUGUUUGCAACGCCAGGGUUGUGGGUUCGAUUCCCUACAGGGGAC